GUGGGGAAUAUUGGACAAUGGGCGCAAGCCUGAUCCAGCCAUGCCGCGUGAGUGAUGAAGGCCUUAGGGUUGUAAAGCUCUUUCAGUGGGGACGAUAAUGACGGUACCCACAGAAGAAGCCCCGGCUAACUUCGUGCCAGCAGCCGCGGUAAUACGAAGGGGGCUAGCGUUGUUCGGAUUUACUGGGCGUAAAGCGCACGUAGGCGGUUUGUUAAGUCAGGGGUGAAAUCCCGGAGCUCAACUCCGGAACUGCCUUUGAUACUGGCAAGCUAGAGUCCGGAAGAGGUAAGUGGAACUCCGAGUGUAGAGGUGGAAUUCGUAGAUAUUAGGAAGAACACCAGUGGCGAAGGCGGCUUACUGGUCCGGAACUGACGCUGAGGUGCGAAAGCGUGGGGAGCAAACAGGAUUAGAAACCCGGGUAGUCC
rnacentral:rRNA from 1 species